AGUGAACGCUGGCGGUAGGCCUAACACAUGCAAGUCGAACGGCAGCACAGGAGAGCUUGCUCUCUGGGUGGCGAGUGGCGGACGGGUGAGGAAUACAUCGGAAUCUGCCCAGUCGUGGGGGAUAACGUAGGGAAACUUACGCUACUACCGCAUACGACCUUCGGGUGAAAGAGGGGGAUCGCAAGACCUCUCGCGAUUGGAUGAGCCGAUGUCGGAUUAGCUAGUUGGCGGGGUAAUGGCCCACCAAGGCGACGAUCCGUAGCUGGUCUGAGAGGAUGAUCAGCCACACUGGAACUGAGACACGGUCCAGACUCCUACGGGAGGCAGCAGUGGGGAAUAUUGGACAAUGGGCGCAAGCCUGAUCCAGCCAUACCGCGUGGGUGAAGAAGGCCUUCGGGUUGUAAAGCCCUUUUGUUGGGAAAGAAAUCUUUCAGGCUAAUACCCUGGGAGGAUGACGGUACCCAAAGAAUAAGCACCGGCUAACUUCGUG
rnacentral:rRNA from 1 species